rnacentral:rRNA from 1 species
UCCUAACUCUGGCGGCGUGCUUAACACAUGCAAGUCGAACGGUGAAGCUCCAGCUUGCUGGAGUGGAUCAGUGGCGAACGGGUGAGUAACACGUGAGCAACCUGCCCCUGACUCUGGAAUAAGCGCUGGAAACGGCGUCUAAUACUGGAUACGAGAAGGGUCCGCAUGGGCACUUUCUGGAAAGUUUUUCGGUUGGGGAUGGGCUCGCGGCCUAUCAGCUUGUUGGUGAGGUAAUGGCUCACCAAGGCGACGACGGGUAGCCGGCCUGAGAGGGCGACCGGCCACACUGGGACUGAGACACGGCCCAGACUCCUACGGGAGGCAGCAGUGGGGAAUAUUGCACAAUGGGCGAAAGCCUGAUGCAGCGACGCCGCGUGAGGGAUGACGGCCUUCGGGUUGUAAACCUCUUUCAGCAGGGAAGAAGCGAAAGUGACGGUACCUGCAGAAGAAGCACCGGCUAACUACGUG